UAAUACUGCGAUUUGAGUUGC
ensembl:piRNA 21ur-5376 ncRNA